rnacentral:lncRNA from 1 species
GUCCAAUCGAAUAACACACUACUGUAUACUAAGUAAUAUAGGAACAAAUACAAGUAAAUUAGUUCAUUAACAACGACCUUCGAAAGUCGACCAAUACAGGAUAGUUCAAAGAAUGAAAUCUUAACCAUCGAACACCAAGAAGGCUAACUACGGUAAUUGCAAGAUUUUCUAGAUCCUUUCACUCAACCUUUUUUGGGGGAAACCCUCUGUUGUCAAAUAAUCUAAACAGCACAAUUUGAAUUUCUUACCUUACAAUUGAUCUGGUUGGGCAGUGCGUUUUAAGUUCCAAGACUUGAAGCAGUCGGCACAUGAUCAUUAAAUGAUCUGGGCAUCUGUCGAGCAUGUACUCUGAUGCUGCAAAUGUCCACAGUGCCCUCCAAAAUCCCAAAUACUUGAUGCACAAGUAAGAGACGACAGAAAUGAUAACACGUGAAGAAGGAACAGAGAUUCGUACAAGCACCAUUUCGUG